rnacentral:rRNA from 1 species
UGGGGAAUAUUGCACAAUGGGGGAAACCCUGAUGCAGCGACGCCGCGUGAACGAAGAAGGUAUUCGUAUCGUAAAGUUCUGUCCUAUGGGAAGAUAAUGACAGUACCAUAGAAGAAAGCUCCGGCUAAAUACGUGCCAGCAGCCACGGUAAUACGUAUGGAGCGAGCGUUGUCCGGAAUUAUUGGGCGUAAAGGGUACGCAGGCGGUUUAAUAAGUCGAAUGUUAAAGAUCGGGGCUCAACCCCGCAAAGCAUUGGAAACUGAUAAACUUGAGUAGUGGAGAGGAAAGUGGAAUUCCUAGUGUAGUGGUGAAAUACGUAGAUAUUAGGAGGAAUGCCAGUAGCGAAGGCGACUUUCUGGACACAAACUGACGCUGAGGUACGAAAGCGUGGGGAGCAAACAGG